UACGUAGGGUGCAGGCGUUAAUCGGAAUUACUGGGCGUAAAGCGUGCGCAGGCGGCUUUGCAAGACAGAUGUGAAAUCCCCGGGCUUAACCUGGGAACUGCAUUUGUGACUGCAUGGCUGGAGUGCGGCAGAGGGGGAUGGAAUUCCGCGUGUAGCAGUGAAAUGCGUAGAUAUCGAGAGGAACACCUGCGGCGAAGGCGGGUUGCUGGGCUGACACUGACGCUGAUGAGCGCGAAAGCCAGGGGAGCGAACGGG
rnacentral:rRNA from 1 species